UGGAGUGCAGCUCAGGGGUAGAGCGCAUGCCCAGCAUAUGUGAAGCCCUGGGUACAAUUCCCAGCACAACAA
rnacentral:tRNA from 1 species